rnacentral:lncRNA from 1 species
ACGACUGAUGAUGGGAUUUGACGAGUUCUCCAUGACCUCCAUCUAAUUGAGACUCACGAUAGAGGGACUGUAUCACAUGAUAACUGUACUUAGAGGUUCAUUCUUUUAUUCUGCUGGAUUAUCACUACAUGCUGUUAGAUAUCAUUGAUGGAUCAUGAAAACUCACUAGGAUUAUUUUUGAAUUAACAAUCUUUGUUGGGAAAAGU